AACGAACGCUGGCGGCGUGCUUAACACAUGCAAGUCGAACGCGAAAGGGACUUCGGUCCUGAGUAAAGUGGCGCACGGGUGAGUAACGCGUAGAUAACCUGUCUUCAUGUCUGGAAUAAUACGCCGAAAGGGGUACUAAUACCGGAUAUUCUUGCUUUUCAUAAGUUAUGCAAGCAAAGGUGGCCUCUGCAUAUGCUACUGCAUGAAGAGGGGUCUGCGUACCAUUAGCUAGUAGGUGGGGUAAUGGCCUACCUAGGCGACGAUGGUUAGCGGGUCUGAGAGGAUGAUCCGCCACACUGGCACUGGAACACGGGCCAGACUCCUACGGGAGGCAGCAGUGAGGAAUAUUGCGCAAUGGGGAAACCCUGACGCAGCGACGCCGCGUGAGUGAAGGAAGGCCUUCGGGUCGUAAAGCUCUGUCAAGAGGAAAGAAGUGUACAAUGGCUAAUACCUGUUGUAUUUGACGGUACCUCUAAAGGAAGCACCGGCUAACUCCGUGCCAGCCGCUGC
rnacentral:rRNA from 1 species